CCGCCCGUCACACCAUGGGAGCUGACUGUACCAGAAGUCGCUAAGCUAACCCGGAGUUUAACGAAGGGAAGCAAGCGCCUAAGGUAUGGUUGGUGACUGGGGUG
rnacentral:rRNA from 1 species